rnacentral:rRNA from 1 species
UACAGAGGUCCCAAGCGUUGUUCGGAUUCACUGGGCGUAAAGCGUGCGCAGGCGGUUCGUUGUGUCGGUGGUGAAAUCCCCGGGCUUAACCUGGGAAUGGCCAUGGAAACUGGCGAACUGGAGUGCGGCAGAGGGGGGUGGAAUUCCGCGUGUAGCAGUGAAAUGCGUAGAGAUGCGGAGGAACACCGAUGGCGAAGGCAGCCCCCUGGGCUAGCACUGACGCUCAGGCACGAAAGCGUGGGGAGCAAACAGG